CGUCCUACACACUAGGGACGAUUUGAAAUUGUACUGAAGCCGAUUAACCUACAAAUCUGCACGUCUCUGGAGUGGGCAGAAGCUGGAGCACGGGGGGGGGGGGGGUGACCUACACAGUCACAAGGAGAACGUACAAACUCCGUACAGGCAACACCCAUAGUCAAGAUCGAACCUGGGUCUCUGGCGUGGUAAGGCAGCAACUCUACCGCUGCGCCACUGUGCUGUCUUCUCCACAUGACCAUUUAUGUGUUCUGGCUGGUGUAGCUAAUUAGCUGAGCGUUCAUGUUUACUGCAGUUGCUGCGUGCUAACUGCAGCUUGCCAUGGGGCAAUUAGUAGCGAGUUAUUUACUCCCACAGUGUCUUCUUUUGGCAGCAGUUGCAACAGAUGCCGCAUGACAAGUGGGACCCGUUCCCUUGCCUGACCUCUGGUCUCUCUGUUCCUUACCGAGCUGGACACUGGCCCGCUGGGUCUCAGUAGUAUUUUCAACCCUGCAAUUGCAUCAUCAUAGUUUAAUGUUUCCCAGUAAGGUCUGAGCGAUGGAAGGGGGAGAGGAAAGGGACAGUGAAGUCAGUACCCGUUUGCAGAACUUUCAUUUGGUUUGACCCACUUGCUGAUUUUAUCUCUUGGUGCACAGAUUUAGAGAUGUGGACCACAGACUGCCUUGAGUCACAGGGCGGGCUGGUGUCAUGAAGUGCACAGCCACAGUAGAAAGGAAACCAGACCUUUUUUUUUAAAUUCCUGCAGCCAAUAUUACUUGAGGUGUCCUGUCUCUGUUAACCACAGUUCUCACUUACUCAAACUUGUUAAAUUAAUUUUUAAAAAAAAAUAAUAAUCGGGACCUGCAUUUGCUUCAGUUCCAAGAUUAAGGUGAUUGUUGGAAUUAAAAUAUUUCUCCCUUCGUCCCAUUCUCCUGCCUUCUCCACAUAGCCCCUGACACCCUUAACAUUUGUGGCAUAAUGUGAAAGCGAGCAGUGUAUCUACUAAAGCCGCUGUAGUAACAUCCCUUGACCCGCACUGAAGAUUACAGGCUUGUGUGCAAAUCCGGCGCUCUGAAUACCUGUGGUGUUUUGCCCUCGAACCAUGCCUGGGAAAGUGGCCGAAGUUCUUCAAACGUGCUAAAUGCAGAACGCGUGAAGAGCCGAUAUCAUGAGCGUUUAUUUUUGGAGCUUCAAUGAAUCGUGUGCCAUCUUGAUCGCUGGUGCUAAAUCUGGUGGUGACUGUCAUGUCAAGCCUCCUUAUGGAUUUGCACCUUUAAAGCAGCCUGCUAUGCUGCAAGGAUGUGUUGAUCUGCUUCAUAUCCCUUACAAACUGGGUAACCGGAGCCCACUUGAGUACUAUAGAUAGAAUGCUGUUUGUUUUUAAUGGGCAUGCUGUUUGGGGUGCUACUUAGAGGUGGUAGGUGAUUUAUGUUGGGCUAGGAUGUUUUUUCCCCUUCACACUGCUGCACAAGCAUGGGAAAGUCUAUAAAUCAUAUUGUGGAGCGGAGCAUGGUUCCAAGGUUUUUCACCGUACCUCUGUACACGUGGCAAUAAACUUCACCAGCAGAUCCUGUAGUGACUCCUUUAGCGGAAUCUAUUAGGGCUGCACAGGGGUGGAGCUACUGCCUCAGGACCAGAGACAUAGGUUCGAUCCUGACUAUAGGCACUCUGUGUGGAGUUUGCACGUUCUCCCUCUGACCACAUGGGUUUCCUCCGGGUGCUCCGGUUUCCUCGCACAUUCCAAAGAUGUGCAGGUUUGUAGGUAAUUUGCCCCAAAUAUGUGGGAUGACAUAGAGCUAAUGUGCUGAAGGACCUUUGUCCACACUGCAUCACUAAACUAUCAUUGUAAGCGAAUGUCCUGCAGACUUGCACCUGGUUCAGGCUUGAAGAAGUCCUUGGUGUUCAGGGUGUAGUACCGUGGGUUGCUUUAAAGGUGCAUGGUAUAAUCUGCAGCGUGCGGCGGUCAGCCGUGCUUCCCCACCCACCCACCCACACAGCUUGUCACCACACCCACCCAACCUGAAGUGACAUUGGAACGCUGCCUAAAGUGAUCCCCUGGGAAGUAUGGCACCUUGUACUUGUCAACAGCUGCAGGUUGUAUUGUAAUGAAGGCAAUUAAUAGACUCUUGCCUUUACACAGCCCGUGUCCUUGUGUGCUCUCUUUAAUAUAAUCCCGCCCACAACAACCGCUGCCUUCACCUCCUGACAAUAACUCUCAGCUUGAGAUUCUCCAUAAUUCACUAGAAUUUAUUCAUGGGCAACUCGUAUCUGACCUAGCUUUGACUCCGGACAUUAGAGAGAGAGAGAGCAGCGUGCAGACGGCCCCUUCGACCCACCGACUCCGUGUUGGCCAGCGAUCACCCUGUAACAUUGGCCGCAAGAAUUCAGGUUACCAGCCUCUGUCAAAUGGCCGCCUGUGAAUCCCUAUCACAAGACCUAGUGCGGGAGUAACUCGGCAGGUUCGGCAGCAUCCGUGGAGCACGUGGAUAGGUGACAUUUUGGGGUGGGACCCUCCUUCAGACAGCUUGUGGGGAGGGGGUGAGAGAAAGCUGGUAAAGAGUAGGGGCAGGACGGAGCUGGCAAGCAGUUGGUGGAUACAGGUGAGGGCUGAUGGUUGGACAAAGGCCUAAGAUGAAAAGACAGGAGGUGGUGGGAGGCAAAAGGAUUGGAGAGUUAUGAAUUUAUCAUAAUUUCCUUUAAGAGGCCACUGAAGAGGUUGGAGAGGGGUGGGUGUCUGAUUACGGGUGUCUGAUUACUGUUGUCACGUGCCGAGGUGUUUUUGGAUCGUGAUGGCUGUGUGCGUACAGUGAUCAGAGACUGGGAGAAGUUGUAUCCUAGUUACUUGUGACUUCGUCCUGAUGGUGCAAUAGGUUACGGGUGGAAUUAAAACCAAUGGGGGGGGGGGGGGGGGGAGUGGUCCUGGAUGGUGUACAAACUGCAGUAUUAGUUGAUCAAAGAAUAAGUAACAUUUGGCUUUUGGGGCAGUGGUAAUUUGGGUCAAUUGAACUGAAACUCUAGGAGGAGGGCUGGUGAUUUGUUUCCCUGGUGUCCACGUCAGUUUGUGUUAUUUGAAGGGUGUGCGAUAAAGUCUCUGAUCAUUCCGUUAUUCCUUUAUCCUGUGCUCUGCAAACGGCUUGAUUGUCAUCGUGUGUAGUCUUUCCGCUGGCUGGUUAGCACACGACAAAGGCUUUUCACUAUACCUCUGUACACAUGUCAAACUUAAACUGAGUCGGUCUGGUGCAAUAUCUGUCCUCUGGCCCAUCAAUUUUAAACUUUCCUCUUACAUUAAGUUUGGGAUCCGAAGCGUUGAAUUAUUCAUCCUCUCUUUUCCCAUUACUUGACUUUAAAUCCAUUGUUUGUUUAAGAAGGAA